rnacentral:rRNA from 1 species
UACGUAGGGGGCGAGCGUUGUCCGGAAUUACUGGGCGUAAAGCGCAUGUAGGCGGGCGACUAAGUCAGGGGUGAAAACCGUGGGCUCAACCUACGGCUUGCCCUUGAUACUGGUCGUCUUGAGUACAGGAGAGGGAAGCGGAAUUCCCGGUGUAGCGGUGAAAUCCGUAGAUAUCAGCAGGAACGCCGGUGGAGAAGUCGGUCUCCUGGGCCGUUCCUGACGCUGAGGCCCGAAAGCUAGGGGAGCAAACCGG